rfam:Trametes cinnabarina, BRFM137, WGS project CCBP01000000 data, contig: scf184967
GCUGAUAUGGCCGAGUCGUUAAGGCGAGUGAUUUGAAUUCGUUUCAAUAUCACUUGGGCAUUGCCCGCGUAGGUUCAAAUCCUGCUGUCAGCG